CACUAAAGUUGUACUAUUGCUGUGACAAUUAAUUUGGAUCCGGAGCACAAAUUCCAAGUGAAAUUCAAUCAGAUGUUAGUAUAAAAGAAAAUUAGUAAGUGAAAGUACUAAUAGAAAACCAACAUAAGAAUGGGGGCAAACCGCUGCACAUAACCGUCCGACCAUGGGUCUCCUGUCCGCAGUCUUUUCCUACAUUUCAGCAAGGCUGUUUCCAGGACCCUAAGCCAUGACCUCAUGGUCACAAGGCAACAACUUUACAGCUGCGCCAAGGCCCCCCUUCCAAAACUAACAUAAGAAUGUCCUAAUAAUAUGCUCGCAAACAUGAUGAACACCAACAUUUCCAAUAGGUUCCUUAACAACCAUAAGUCUGAGUACUACAACAAAAUACUCAGCAGAUCCAGUCGCUGAUUAAGUACAACUAGAGCAUCUCUUACAUCAAAGUUCAUGUAACCCAACAGAAAUGUAAAGGUGCUGUGUCUGAAAAGCAAACCCUCCUAGCCCCCACUUGGAUCUUCAAGAUGGCACUGGCAAUUGUAGUUGAUAAUACGGGAUCAGGUGUUGGGAAUUCAAGAAACAACACUAUAUGGGUAUCAAAACACGCCAAUGCACCACUUGAUCUAGACAACAAUACUACUUACUGUAUGUUGAAGUGUCGAUCUGCUCAGGCAGCUCCUUGAUGUCAACCUCAAACCUUUCUUGCACCUUCAAAUAAAAUAUGUAUGAAAUUUCAGUUAGGCUGCACUACACUCAUCAUACCAAAUAUGUAUAUAUAUAUAUAUAUAUAUAUAUAUAUAUAUAUAGGGAAAAUCCAUCCUGUUAGUGUGGAUUUUUUAACACCCGGGGACUAUACCACCCCUGCCACCCCAUGUUAUCCACGUUCAAUGCAUGCUUCGUGAUCCGUGCAAACACUAUGCUAUCAUCAUUACUUUAUCAAGAUUCAGUUAAUGAAGCAUGCUAAUGAUCACACUAAUACGGUUCCAGUAGAGUAUGUCUUAGACUAGGGGUAUCAAAAUAUUUGGUCAUGAAUACUUAACCAAAAAGAUUCCCUAAUAGUAUAAAAAGUAGUAUACCUUACUAACUUUCUAUAAUAGUACAAAAAAAUUGGUUCGUGAUUAAGACUUAUAUUCCUAAAAGAAGUUCCCCAUGAACUCAAAAGAUAUUCCUCGAAAAAGAUUCGUGUGUACACACAUGUAUCAACAUUUUACCUUGUUAAUACUUAGUGCUAUGAACUCAUCUAAGUACAAUUAGACAAAUGGAAGACUAAUCAAUGGCAGACCUAAAAGAUGCUACACAGAUCUCAAAGCCAGAUCAGACGGAAGCCAGAGGGGUGGCAAAGGCAUAUACAUAUACAUAUAUAUAUAUAUAUACAUAUACAUAUACAUAUACAUAUAUAUAUAUAUAUAGAAGUUAUACAAACCUGAUUGAGGACGUCAGAGUCAGAGGCAGAAGCAACAAAUGUUAUUGCAAGCCCUUUGGUUCCAAAACGCCCAGCCCUUCCAACCUGUGGGGGUGGACCAUGUUAUGUUAGCCAGAGAUAAGAACACCCAAUCACAAUCAGUAGGGCAAAGUUAAAAUUACCCUGUGCAAGUAUGUAUCAGCAGAAUCAGGCAUGUCAUAGUUUAUGACAAUAUUGACACGCUCAAUAUCAAUCCCCCUGCCAACCAAAUCCGUAGCCACAAGGAUCCU
rnacentral:lncRNA from 1 species